rnacentral:rRNA from 1 species
CCACCUAGAGGAGCCUGUUCUGUAAUCGAUAAUCCCCGAUUAACCCAACCACCCCUUGCCAACACAGCCUACAUACCGCCGUCGCCAGCCCACCUCGAAUGAGAGCACAACAGUGGACACAAUAGCACCCCGCUAAUAAGACAGGUCAAGGUAUAGCCUAUGGAGUGGAAGAAAUGGGCUACAUUCCCUAUUCAUAGGGCACACGGAAAGAAGCGUGAAACCACUUCUGGAAGGCGGAUUUAGCAGUAAAGUGGGAUAAUAGAGCCUACUUUAAGCCGGCCCUGGGGCACGUACAUACCGCCCGUCACCCUCCUCAAAAGCCACAUCCCACAUAACUAAUACCAUAAAUACGCUGAAGAUGAGGUAAGUCGUAACAAGGUAAGUGUACCGGA